rnacentral:rRNA from 1 species
CCUACGGGAGGCAGCAGUCGAGAAUCAUUCACAAUGGGGGAAACCCUGAUGGUGCGACGCCGCGUGGGGGAAUGAAGGUCUUCGGAUUGUAAACCCCUGUCAUGUGGGAGCAAAUUAAAAAGAUAGUACCACAAGAGGAAGAGACGCCUAACUCUGUGCCAGCAGCCGCGGUAAUACAGAGGUCUCAAGCGUUGUUCGGAAUCACUGGGGGUAAAGCGUGCGUAGGCUGUUUCGUAGGUCGUGUGUGAAAGGCGGGGGCUAAACCCGCGUACGACCAUGAUACUGCGAGACUAGAGUAAUGGAGGGGGAACCGGAAUGCUCGGUGUAGCAGUGAAAUGCGUAGAUAUCGAGAGGAACACUCGUGGCGAAGGCGGGUUCCUGGACAUUAACUGACGCUGAGGCACGAAGGCCAGGGGAGCGAAAGGGAUUAGAUACCCCUGUAGUC